AUAGUCGUCAGAACAGCUUGC
rnacentral:siRNA from 1 species